rfam:Stachybotrys chlorohalonata IBT 40285 unplaced genomic scaffold scaffold1767, whole genome shotgun sequence.
GGUUCCAUGGCUCAGUUGGUUAGCGCGGUAUGUUGACAAACCCGAGCCGCAAUAAAGGAACACGUUCGCUGACUUGCAACCUACAGUCGUACUAAUACAGUACAAUCUGUACUAAGUAAUGCGAAGGUCGAGAGUUCGACCCUCUCUGGGACCA